rnacentral:rRNA from 1 species
GAUGAACGCUGGCGGCGUGCCUAAUACAUGCAAGUCGAGCGAACAGACGAGGAGCUUGCUCCUCUGACGUUAGCGGCGGACGGGUGAGUAACACGUGGAUAACCUACCUAUAAGACUGGGAUAACUUCGGGAAACCGGAGCUAAUACCGGAUAAUAUAUUGAACCGCAUGGUUCAAUAGUGAAAGACGGUUUUGCUGUCACUUAUAGAUGGAUCCGCGCCGCAUUAGCUAGUUGGUAAGGUAACGGCUUACCAAGGCAACGAUGCGUAGCCGACCUGAGAGGGUGAUCGGCCACACUGGAACUGAGCCACGGUCCAGACUCCUACGGGAGGCAGCAGUAGGUAAUCUUCCGCAAUGGGCGAAAGCCUGACGGAGCAACGCCGCGUGAGUGAUGAAGGUCUUCGGAUCGUAAAACUCUGUUAUUAGGGAAGAACAAAUGUGUAAGUAACUAUGCACGUCUUGACGGUACCUAAUCAGAAAGCCACGGCUAACUACGUG